rnacentral:lncRNA from 1 species
UACAAGGAGCCAUGGCAGGAAUUCCUCGAUUGGGCAGAGCUACUACACAUUCAGGCGAGCGACGUUUACGAUAUCAGGCCAGAGAUAGUGGCCAUGUACCUGAUGCACGUCCACCAAACUGCGCAAGCAGAUGAAGUAGGUCCGGGUUGUGUCACGGUGGUGAGUGCUGCUAUUGCCUGCCACUUCUUUUUUGCAGGCUGCCCCUCACCACGGGAGCACCCAGCAUGGUACCUCGUUCGGGACCUGGGCAGGCGCACACUGCAAGGGAAGAAGUUGCACAGGGAAAGCAUGCAACCAGAGCAUGUCCGCAUGUUGGCUACUCACUUUGCUGGGCCAGAUGCAUCACUGCCAGACCUGAUGAUGGUAGCAGCCAUAUCGGUCAUGUUCGCUGGUUUCCUGAGGUUCAACGACCUAGCCCAAAUCUCCGUCAAGUACGACCUGCUCACCCUGCACGACACUCACAUGGCCAUUACACCGCCUAGGUCCGAAACGGACCAGGAGGGCAAAGGGCAGACCGUACGGAUCGCGCGCGUGGGAGGUGUGGCUUGUCCAGUGGGCUUGACUGAGAGGUAGGGCUGGGAAUUACGGUUACGGUCCUUACGAAAUUGCGCAUUACACCGUAAGCAAUUACGGUGACCCCCCAAAAACACAGUAAAAUGACGGUCCUUACGGUGUAAUGUAAUUACGGUUACCAAAAGGUCCAAAUUACGGUCGGACCGCAAGCGUGCGAGCCAAUACCGACGACCACACCUCGAAACAUGCCAUUUCGUCCCUUGGAGCUACGGGAUAGUCUUAAAAAGACUAUUAUACAUUAACCUAUGAUUAAAUUAUCACAAACGACAGCCAAAAAAUGCUGAAUGAGGCGAAACCAUUUCAACCGGAGCACCGCGCUCGCAUUGAGGACUGCAUCUGGAGCGAGACUGGGAAGUCCGGCCGCAGUCCUGGGCACAGCUCCCAGCAAGGUGCUGCCCUUCAUUUGGGCUGAGAAACGCUGCUUCAUGGUCAGCGGCUUACCAGGGGCAGUGUCGGAGCCCGCCUUUGGCUGGAUGUCACCCAUAUCGCGGCUAAAUACAAGCUUAGGUGCAAGUAACCCUGAUAAAACUAUGUAAAAAGGUAUGAAAUAAGCUUAUAUAUCGUUAUAUAAAAGGAAAGAAAGGAUUUCGCUCCGACAACGAGGACCGUAAAUCGUUACGGUCCACUUUGCCCCGGAACCCACCGUAAAUUUCAGUAUUUACGGCGUUGCGCAUUACACCGUU